AUUGAGAUAUCACUGUCUAGCGUUUGACCGCUCGUCUUAUUUGAAAAAUUUAUGAAUUUUUUUUUAAAAAAUAGUCACACAUAAAUUACUACUCAUGUUUUAUCAUCUAAUAACAAUAAAAAUAUUAAUUAUAAAAAAUUUUCAAAUAAGACGAACGAUUAAGCGUUGGACAUGAACAGUUGCAAAACUGCACUUAUU
rfam:Oryza glumipatula chromosome 6, whole genome shotgun sequence.